rnacentral:rRNA from 1 species
GACGAACGCUGGCGGCGUGCUUAACACAUGCAAGUCGAACGGAAAGGCCCUGCUUUUGUGGGGUGCUCGAGUGGCGACAGUGUGAGUAACACUGGAGUAACCUGCCCUUCACUUCGGGAUACAUUCAGGAAACUGGGGCUAAUACCGGAUAGGAGCUCCUGCUGCAUGGUGGGGGUUGGAAAGUUUCGGCGGUUGGGGAUCGACUCGCGGCUUAUCAGCUUGUUGGUGGGGUAGUGGCUUACCAAGGCUUUGACGGGUAGCCGGCCUGAGAGGGUGACCGUACCAAUUGGGCCUGAGAGAACGCGCAUGCUCGGGAGUGAGGCAGCAGUGGGGAAUAUUGCACAAUGGGCGGAAGCCUGAUGCAGCACAGCCGGGUGCGGGAUGACGGCCUUCGGGUUGUACAGAGCGGGCGCCUGUGACGAAGCGUGAGUGACGGUAAUGGGUAAAGAAGCACCGGCUAACUACGUG